rnacentral:lncRNA from 1 species
GCUAUGACAUCAACCAUCGGAUCGCACCUCUGAUCCACAUACAGACCCGUGAGCCAUGAUAUCCUAUGCAGUCCAUGGUGGACCAUGAUACCCUGGUGGGCUUGGGUGCCCACGUGGCCUACAUGUGCAUGCAUGGGCCUAUCUGGGCCUGCUUAGUGUGCUGCUAGCCCAUGCACCAGCGGGUUGCCGGGCCUAACCCACGCUGCCGCCGGCCUGCAUCGGCCCAUGGGCUCCUCCAACGGCCUAUGGGCCAUACCAUCUACUUUCUACCUGCUUUCUCACACGUAUCUCCUCCAUCCGGACUCUAUUUGGACUGUUCUUAGACUUAUUAGAUUCUAUUCAUCAUUUUGAACCUCAUUAUAGGCUUAUUAUGGAUUGAAUCUCGAGGUAUUUUUUUCAAUAAGGUGGAGCUCUAGGAGCAAGUGGAUCGGACACCAGCUGAGAGAUUCGAGAGUGCGAUUGGUAACAUCGCAGGAUGAAGUUUCUAUUGUCAUAGGAGGCUACCCUAAGCAGAUCUCAGAUCAGACAGAUCACAGCACAUAAUAGAGAUGAGAUCGAGUGGCCUAGCUCGACUCCCAUAUUUGCCCAUCCAUGAGUAGCAGGUGUUU